rnacentral:rRNA from 1 species
CGUGUAGGCGGUUUGGUAAGUCUGAUGUGAAAGCCCUGGGCUCAACCCGGGAAGUGCAUUGGAAACUGUCAGACUUGAAUACGGGAGAGGGUAGUGGAAUUCCUGGUGUAGGAGUGGAAUCCGUAGAUAUCAGGAGGAACACCGGUGGCGAAGGCGGCUGCCUGGACCGAUAUUGACGCUGAGACGCGAAAGCGUGGGUAGCAAACAGGAUUAGAUACCCUGGUAGUCCACGCCGUAAACGAUGAGUACUAUGUGUUGCGGGUAUUGACCCCUGCAGUGCCGCAGCUAACGCAUUAAGUACUCCGCCUGGGAAGUACGGUCGCAAGACUAAA